rnacentral:rRNA from 1 species
GAAGAGAGCUUGCUCUCUGAUUCAGCGGCGGACGGGUGAGUAAUGCCUAGGAAUCUGCCUGAUAGUGGGGGACAACGUUUCGAAAGGAACGCUAAUACCGCAUACGUCCUACGGGAGAAAGCAGGGGACCUUCGGGCCUUGCGCUAUCAGAUGAGCCUAGGUCGGAUUAGCUAGUUGGUGAGGUAACGGCUCACCAAGGCGACGAUCCGUAACUGGUCUGAGAGGAUGAUCAGUCACACUGGAACUGAGACACGGUCCAGACUCCUACGGGAGGCAGCAGUGGGGAAUAUUGGACAAUGGGCGAAAGCCUGAUCCAGCCAUGCCGCGUGUGUGAAGAAGGUCUUCGGAUUGUAAAGCACUUUAAGUUGGGAGGAAGGGCAUUAACCUAAUACGUUAGUGUUUUGACGUUACCGACAGAAUAAGCACCGGCUAACUUCGUGCCAGCAGCCGCGG